rnacentral:tRNA from 1 species
GCCUCGCUAUUUCAAUCGGCAGAAUUUGAGACUCUUAAAGACCUUCUAGGAUCUUAUUGGAGAUUGAUCUCACGGUUGUGGGUUCGAGUCCCACGUGGGGCG